CAGUCGCCGCGGUAAUACGAAGGGAGCUAGCGUUGUUCGGAAUUACUGGGCGUAAAGCGCGCGUAGGCGGUUACUCAAGUCAGAGGUGAAAGCCCGGGGCUCAACCCCGGAACUGCCUUUGAAACUAGGUGACUAGAAUCUUGGAGAGGUCAGUGGAAUUCCGAGUGUAGAGGUGAAAUUCGUAGAUAUUCGGAAGAACACCAGUGGCGAAGGCGACUGACUGGACAAGUAUUGACGCUGAGGUGCGAAAGCGUGGGGAGCAAACAGGAUUAGAUACCCCAGUAGUCCCUGUCUCUUAUAC
rnacentral:rRNA from 1 species